rnacentral:rRNA from 1 species
UACGUAGGUGGCAAGCGUUGUCCGGAUUUACUGGGCGUAAAGAGCUCGUAGGCGGCCACUCAAGUCGAAUGUGAAACCUCGAGGCUUAACCUCGACCUGCAUUUGAUACUGGGCGGCUAGAGUCUGGUAGGGGGGAUCUGGAAUUCCUGGUGUAGCGGUGGAAUGCGCAGGAUAUCGGGAGGAACACCUAUGGCGAAGGCAGCUCGCUGGGACGUUACUGACGCUGAGACGCGAAAGCGUGGGGAGCAAACAGG